CCUGUCCCUAGAGGCACCAGAGGUGUGGCUGCUGUGUCACAUGUGUGUCAGCAGGUGGCAGAGAGGAGAGAGGCUGUCUACAUUCAGUGUUCUGACCGAAUGGAAACAUCUGAAUGAUUAAUAGCCCAACAUU